UCGGGGAUAGCCUUUCGAAAGAAAGAUUAAUACUCGAUGGUAUAUCUGAAAGGCAUCUUUCAGCUAUUAAAGAAUUUCGGUCAUUGAUGGGGAUGCGUUCCAUUAGGUUGUUGGCGGGGUAACGGCCCACCAAGCCAUCGAUGGAUAGGGGUUCUGAGAGGAAGGUCCCCCACAUUGGAACUGAGACACGGUCCAAACUCCUACGGGAGGCAGCAGUGAGGAAUAUUGGUCAAUGGACGAGAGUCUGAACCAGCCAAGUAGCGUGAAGGAUGACUGCCCUAUGGGUUGUAAACUUCUUUUAUACGGGAAUAAAGUUAGGCACGUGUGCCUUUUUGUAUGUACCGUAUGAAUAAGGAUCGGCUAACUCCGUGCCAGCAGCCGCGGUAAUACGGAGGAUCCGAGCGUUAUCCGGAUUUAUUGGGUUUAAAGGGAGCGUAGGCGGAUGCUUAAGUCAGUUGUGAAAGUUUGCGGCUCAACCGUAAAAUUGCAGUUGAUACUGGGUGUCUUGAGUACAGUAGAGGCAGGCGGAAUUCGUGGUGUAGCGGUGAAAUGCUUAGAUAUCACGAAGAACUCCGAUUGCGAAGGCAGCUUGCUGGACUGUAACUGACGCUGAUGCUCGAAAGUGUGGGUAUCAAACAGGAUUAGAUACCCUGGUAGUCCACACAGUAAACGAUGAAUACUCGCUGUUUGCGAUAUACAGUAAGCGGCCAAGCGAAAGCGUUAAGUAUUCCACCUGGGGAGUA
rnacentral:rRNA from 1 species